AUUGAACGCUGGCGGCAGGCCUAACACAUGCAAGUCGAGCGAGCGGCGGACGGGUGAGUAAUGUAUGGGGAUCUGCCCGAUAGAGGGGGAUAACUACUGGAAACGGUGGCUAAUACCGCAUACUAUCGGAUGAACCCAUAUGGGAUUAGCGAGUAGGUGGGGUAACGGCUCACCUAGGCGCCGAUCCCUAGCUGGUCUGAGAGGAUGACCAGCCACACUGGAACGGAGACACGGUCCAGACUCCUACGGGAGGCAGCAGUGGGGAAUAUUGCACAAUGGGCGCAAGCCUGAUGCAGCCAUGCCGCGUGUGUGAAGAAGGCCGUCGGGUUGUAAAGCACUUUCAGCGGGGAGGCGUUACCCGCAGAAGAAGCACCGGCUAACUCCGUGCCAGCCGCCGCGGUAAUAC
rnacentral:rRNA from 1 species